rnacentral:rRNA from 1 species
GUUGGUGGGGUAAUGGCCUACCAAGACGAUGAUGUGUAGCCGGGCUGAGAGGUCGAACGGCCACAUUGGGACUGAGACACGGCCCAAACUCCUACGGGAGGCAGCAGUAAGGAAUUUUCGGCAAUGGAGGAAACUCUGACCGAGCAAUGCCGCGUGAACGAUGAAGUAUUUCGGUACGUAAAGUUCUUUUAUUAGGGAAGAAAAGAUGGUGGAAAAACCAUUAUGACGGUACCUAAUGAAUAAGCCCCGGCUAACUAUGUGCCAGCAGCCGCGGUAAUACAUAGGGGGCAAGCGUUAUCCGGAAUUAUUGGGCGUAAAGGGUGCGUAGGCGGUUAAAUAAGUUUAUGGUCUAAGUGCAACGCUCAACGUUGUGAUGCUAUAAAAACUGUUUAGCUAGAGUUGGAUAGAGGCAAGUGGAAUUCCGUGUGUAGUGGUAAAAUGCGUAAAUAUACGGAGGAACACCAGAAGCGAAGGCGGCUUGCUGGGUCUUAACUGACGCUGAGGCACGAAAGCGUGGGGAGCAAACAGGAUUAGAUACCCUGGUAGUCCACGCCCUAAACGAUGAGUACUAAACGUUGGAUAAAACCAGUGUUGAAGUUAACACAUUAAGUACUCCGCCUGAGUAGUACGUACGCAAGUAUGAAACUUAAAGGAAUUGACGGGACUCCGCACAAGCGGUGGAUCAUGUUGUUUAAUUCGAAGGUACCCGAAAAACCUCACCAGGUCUUGACAUGCUUUUGCAAAGCUGUAGAAAUACAGUGGAGGUUAUCAGAAGCACAGGUGGUGCAUGGUUGUCGUCAGCUCGUGUCGUGAGAUGUUGGGUUAAGUCCCGCAACGAGCGCAACCCUUGUUGUUAAUUGCCAUCAUUAAGUUGGGGACUUUAGCAAGACUGCCAAUGAUAAAUUGGAGGAAGGUGGGGACGACGUCAAAUCAUCAUGCCCCUUAUGACCUGGGCUACAAACGUGAUACAAUGGCUGUUACAAAGGGUAGCUAAAGCGUAAGCUUUUGGCGAAUCUCAAAAAAGCAGUCUCAGUUCGGAUUGAAGUCUGCAACUCGACUUCAUGAAGUUGGAAUCGCUAGUAAUCGCGAAUCAGC